AGACAGAGGGGGCAAGCGUUGUCCGGAUUUACUGGGCGUACAGCGCGCGCAGGCGGGCGGCAAGGUGCCGUGUGACAAGCCGGGGCUCAACCCCGGAGGGUCAGGGUAGACCGGUCGCCUGGAGGCAGGGAGAGGGACGUGGAAUACCCGGUGGAGCGGUGAAAUGCGUAGAGAUCGGGUGGAACACCAGGGGCGUAGGCGGCGUCCUGGCCCUGUACUGACGCUGAGGCGCGAGAGCGUGGGGAGCGAACCG
rnacentral:rRNA from 1 species